GCAGCAUGUGGGACCCAACUUCACGAAGAAUCACACUCUGUGGCUGCAACCUGCAGGAGUCACUCUCCAAAGAAGCAUCAUCUGAUGGAAGUGCACACACUUCACAGCAACACAAGUCACAAUCUGAGUUAUUAGCCAGCAAUCAACCUUGAGACCCAGCUGCUGCCUGAAACUCUUGUAGCUGUGAGGGACAGCAGGCGGCCUUCACUCACCCUGAGGCUCCUUACAUACCCAUCCCGCCCGCUGCUGUACACCAGUCCACCAUGCCAGCACAACACAGCUGUUACUCCAUUCUUGCCAUGCACACCAUGAAGACUGUGCUGGGGCUUGGGCUCCUAAAAAAAUGGAAAUCUAGUUCUUAACAUAUUCAUGGUUAUACUCUCAUUAGAGAGGAAUAAGCAAUAAACCCUCUCUCUAUUUUCCUUCCUGCCUCCCUAUACAUUUAAGAUUAAACAAACUUGUAUGCAUAGUCAAUGAUUACC